rnacentral:rRNA from 1 species
GACGUAGGGGGCGAGCGUUGUCCGGAUUUAUUGGGCGUAAAGAGCUCGUAGGCGGUUUGGUAAGUCGGGUGUGAAAUCUCCACGCUCAACGUGGAGGGCCACUCGAUACUGCCAUGACUCGAGUCCGGUAGAGGAGUGUGGAAUUCCGGGUGUAGCGGUGGAAUGCGUAGAGAUCCGGAAGAACACCGGUGGCGAAGGCGGCCUGCUGGGCAGUUGCCGA